rnacentral:rRNA from 1 species
AGACCCGAAACCCGGUGAUCUAGCCAUGGGCAGGUUGAAGGUUGGGUAACACUAACUGGAGGACCGAACCGACUAAUGUUGAAAAAUUAGCGGAUGACCUGUGGCUGGGGGUGAAAGGCCAAUCAAACCGGGAGAUAGCUGGUUCUCCCCGAAAGCUAUUUAGGUAGCGCCUCGUGAAUUCAUCUCCGGGGGUAGAGCACUGUUUCGGCUAGGGGGCCAUCCCGGCUUACCAACCCGAUGCAAACUGCGAAUACCGGAGAAUGUUAUCACGGGAGACACACGGCGGGUGCUAACGUCCGUCGUGAAGAGGGAAACAACCCAGACCGCCAGCUAAGGUCCCAAAGUCAUGGUUAAGUGGGAAACGAUGUGGGAAGGCCCAGACAGCCAGGAUGUUGGCUUAGAAGCAGCCAUCAUUUAAAGAAAGCGUAAUAGCUCACUGGUCGAGUCGGCCUGCGCGGAAGAUGUAACGGGGCUAAACCAUGCACCGAAGCUGCGGCAGCGACACUCAGGUGUUGUUGGGUAGGGGAGCGUUCUGUAAGCCUGUGAAGGUGGCCUGUGAGGGUUGCUGGAGGUAUCAGAAGUGCGAAUGCUGACAUAAGUAACGAUAAAGCGGGUGAAAAGCCCGCUCGCCGGAAGACCAAGGGUUCCUGUCCAACGUUAAUCGGGGCAGGGUGAGUCGACCCCUAAGGCGAGGCCGA